GAUGAACGCUGGCGGCGUGCCUAAUACAUGCAAGUCGAGCGAAUGGAUUAAGAGCUUGCUCUUAUGAAGUUAGCGGCGGACGGGUGAGUAACACGUGGGUAACCUGCCCAUAAGACUGGGAUAACUCCGGGAAACCGGGGCUAAUACCGGAUAACAUUUUGAACCGCAUGGUUCGAAAUUGAAAGGCGGCUUCGGCUGUCACUUAUGGAUGGACCCGCGUCGCAUUAGCUAGUUGGUGAGGUAACGGCUCACCAAGGCAACGAUGCGUAGCCGACAUGAGAGGGUGAUCGGCCACACUGGUACUGAGACACGGCGCAGAGUCCUACGGGAGGCAGCAGUAGGUCGUCGUCCGCAAUGGACGAAAGUCUGACGGAGCAACGCCGCGUGAGUGAUGAAGGCUUUCGGGUCGUAAAACUCUGUUGUUAGGGAAGAACAAGUGCUAGUUGAAUAAGCUGGCACCUUGACGGUACCUAACCAGAAAGCCACGGCUAACUACGUGCCAGCAGCCGCCGUAA
rnacentral:rRNA from 1 species